AUUCAGGAAUCCCUCACCACCAUCUUCUCUCUCCCUAUUGCCGUCUCUCUCUCUCCCGCCGCCGCCGUGUGUCUCUCUCUCGGCCGCCGCGCCUCUCGCCUGCCCUCGCCACGCAGAGCACCUCCAGCCUUGGCUCCAGACUCUAGCCUCGCUCCUCUUUUCCUUUGCCACUGUUCCCCACGGUCGUUCCCUUUCGCUCCACUCCGGCCUCGCUCCACCCCGUGCCCAUCGCCGCCGUGGGGGGCUAGCCCUCGUCGGCGCCGCGCUUCCUCAACGGUGCCACCACGUCGCACGAUCUCAUCCCCCAUGCUGUCACUGCUCCAGUGCGACGUCCGUCAAAUUCAAUCGGCGCGCCCAUGCUGUUGAUGCAAGGGCCUGUCGCCGGCACCCACAACCCCGUUCUUGAUAGCCUAAUAGCCUUGAUCUGAAAGUUUGCAUCCUUGGCCUCGAUUUGAAGCACCUUAGCAUCACCAUUCAGGUAUCCAUGCCCAACGCCAUCUCAAUUCUCUAGCCCUACUGACCAAUUUUUUUGUUAAUUAUAGCACCUAUUGAUCUGUAUGUAUGCAUUGUUUGUUGGUUGUGCACAGAUUCCUUAUCCAAUAGGUACUACAUGAUGCGUAAUUUUAGGAUUGUAAGUAAUAUGAGAAAGCCAAAUUGUACCUAUUCAUUGUAUUGAUAGGAUUGCAAUACUGCUCUACUAAAAAAUUAUACCCGUUCCCUAUAUUGAUGAGUAGCAUAGCCUGAAAAAUAAAAAUUAUGUCGAAAUACUUUCUUAUCUUGAUAGAUUAUUUCCCUCUUUCAAUAUCUUUUACUCGUUCCUUUGGGUUACUUGUAAAUUAUAUAUGUAUAAAGUUCUGUUAUUAGUUCCUUUAGAUUUUUAGAAGUACAUAUGAUCAAUGUGUACAGUGACAACUCAAUCUUCUUAUAGCUGCACGGACAAGGCUAAAUAUUGUUACAAGUAUUAUUCUCCAUAGCUCUUUGCCUCUUUCAUAAAAAAUGAUCAGUGCUUAAAUGAUAGAACUUUUUGUGUUGUUUUAUGAACAUGUCAACUGAGAGGAUGUCUAAUAACGAAAGUGUGGCAUUACUUCCCGAAAGUGCUGGUGAAGUUGCAUAAAAUUCCAAUCGCAGUAGGAAGAGAUCUGCAGUUUGGCAGUAUUUUGAAGAGUUGCCUAGUGAAGGAAAGGCAAUAUGCAUUCAUUGCGGGUCAAAAUUUGCUUAUCACAAAGCAAAGGAGUUCCAAAGUAACAUUUCAUCAUCUCCUGAAGUCAGUGGUUCUGCAAGUACGUUGUCUUUGGUGUCUGGAAAACAUAAGCUAGGGCUGGAAUUUGCUUUGUUCAAGCAGAGAAACAGACCUCAUCGCUCAAGAAGGGAUAGUGAUGGAUUAAGUGAUGAGUUACCGCUCCUUUUCAAGAUUUUGCAAGUUUUGGAUUCAGCCUGGCAGAACAUUCUUGGGUUUUUAGCCUAGCAAGUGGACAGAAAUGGUCUAUGCCACCUACAAGUUUAAUUUAUGAUUAGAGGCUAUUCUUCUUUAGUUAGGUUUAGCUCAAUCUAUAACUGAUUUAUGUUUGGCUUGUAUUCUUGAGAGAUUCUUUGGCCUCAUGGCAUUUCUUAUGCUAUGCACUAUUCUGGACAUGUCUACCAUGAGAGGGUAUUUUGUACUGAGAUGUUGCUAAACUAUUUUCCUU